AGGCAAAGGGAGCGCGAGAGUGGGAGGGCAGGAGGCAAAGAGAGAGAGAGAGAGAGAGAGGAGACACAGAAAGUAUAGAACAAGAGUUAGACAGAAGGUGAAUAAAAGAGAGAGGGUAGGAAAAUAGCCGGGGAAAGAAAAAUGGGAUGAAAAGAUAGAUACAGAGAGAUGAACAGAGAGGCAGAAAGAGACAAAAAAAGUGAAGAAUACUGGCUUGUAACUUUAGGAAUAAGUCAAAUGAAAUUCAUGGGUUAAUUGCACAGACAGAAGGUCAUUCCAAAGGUGAUUGUUAAUGAGGACGCACGUGAAUCCAGAAUCUGGAGCGAUGAUUCCGAAGGGAUUUGUGCAUCUCAAGGAUUUCAGCCAGCUUGUUGCCCUCCUGUUCACGCUCAACGUCCUGUCUGUGGCCAAAGUGGUGACAGUGCCGGAGAAUUACGAGGGUGAAAUUCCUUGGUUCCUGACGAGGGUAAGAUUCCUGU